rnacentral:rRNA from 1 species
CUGCUGCCUCCCGUAGGAGUCUGGUCCGUGUCUCAGUACCAGUGUGGGGGACCUUCCUCUCAGAACCCCUACGCAUCGUCGCCUUGGUGGGCCGUUACCCCGCCAACUAGCUAAUGCGACGCAUGACCAUCCGUAGCCGGAAUCGCUUCCUUUAAACCCGAGGAGAUGCCUCCUCGGGUUGUUACGCGGUAUUAGACGGAAUUUCUUCCGCUUAUCCCCCUGCUACGGGCAGGUUUCAUACGUGUUACUCACCCGUGCGCCGGUCGCCGGCGGGAG